CGGGGGGUGCGAGCGUUGUCCGGAAUCACUGGGCGUAAAGGGCGCGUAGGUGGCCUGAUAAGGGUGUGGUGAAAGUCCGGGGCUUAACCCCGGAUCUGCCGUGCCGACUGUUAGGUUAGAGUGCUGUAGGGGCAGGCGGAAUUCCGGGUGUGGCGGUGAAAUGCGUAGAUAUCCGGAGGAACAUCGAUGGCGAAGGCAGCCGCCUGGGCCACAACUGACACUGAGGUACGAAAGCGUGGGGAGCAAACAGGA
rnacentral:rRNA from 1 species